ACUCCAGUACCAUGCAGCUUAAAUACAUAUAAUACUUUGAUGUGGAAUGAAUGGUACGAUGAUGAUAAUGAUGAUGACGACGACGACGCAGUAGUAGUAGAAGAAGAAGAAAUCUAAAUUUUCAUUUUUCAAGCGUGGUCUUCAACUUUGGUCUUUUUCAUGGACCUGCUGCUAAGCAGAGCUCGAAAGCAUCGAAAGGCCAUGCCUAAAAAUAGAAGUAUAGAAGUGAAGUUCAUACUAAUGCAUAGAAGGAAACAAUAAUAUUCACGGAUUUGUUCAAUUUGUCGCACAAAUCUGAAGGCCACGUAUGAAACACAAAUCAUAGUCAAUUGCAUCCCGAUCGAAUUUACUAAUACAUAGAAGGAAACAAGAAUGUCCACGGAUCUAUUCAACCGAAGUGAAGUUCAUCAACAUAUAACCAAGGAAACAAUAAUACAACACAUGUAAGGUGGAAACCCUAAACACGGACGCAUCUAUGGUGCAAAACUCAGAAAUGUGGGAGAGCAUACCUGUGUAGGAGUCAGCAACAGAGUGGACACAUGCAAGCGGGUCGUCAUCAUGUAUGUAGGACCUGCAACCAAAAGUCCGACGAGCCCUGACACGAAUCAGUGAGGUGGGACGAAACAGAGGAGAAGGUAGGGGAGAUACGGACACGGGGGAGAUGGGGGAGGUAUGGAACCCA
rnacentral:lncRNA from 1 species